AUUGAACGCUGGCGGCAGGCUUAACCCAUGCAAGUCGAGCGAGCGGCGGACGGGUGAGUAAUGUCUGGGAAACUGACUGAUGGAGGGGGCACACUACUGGAAACGGUAGCUCAUACCGCAUACCAUCAACUGGGCCCAGAUGGGUUUAGCUAGUCGGUGGGGCAAUGGCUCACCUAGGCGACGAUCCCUAGCUGGUCUGAGAGGCUGACCAGCCACACUGGCACGGAGACACGGUCAAGACUCCUACGGGGGGCAGCAGUGGGGAAGAUUGCACAAUGGGCGAAAGCCUGAUGCAGCCAUGCCGCGUGGGUGAAGAAGGCCGUCGGGUUGUAAAGCACGUUCAGCGGGGAGGCGUUACUCGCAGAAGAAGCACCGGCUAACGUCGUGCCAGCAGCCGCGGUAAUAC
rnacentral:rRNA from 1 species